rnacentral:rRNA from 1 species
GUUAAGCGACUAAGCGUACACGGUGGAUGCCCUGGCAGUCAGAGGCGAUGAAGGACGUGCUAAUCUGCGAUAAGCGUCGGUAAGGUGAUAUGAACCGUUAUAACCGGCGAUUUCCGAAUGGGGAAACCCAGUGUGUUUCGACACACUAUCAUUAACUGAAUCCAUAGGUUAAUGAGGCGAACCGGGGGAACUGAAACAUCUAAGUACCCCGAGGAAAAGAAAUCAACCGAGAUUCCCCCAGUAGCGGCGAGCGAACGGGGAGCAGCCCAGAGCCUGAAUCAGUGUGUGUGUUAGUGGAAGCGUCUGGAAAGGCGCGCGAUACAGGGUGACAGCCCCGUACACAAAAAUGCACAUGCUGUGAGCUCGAUGAGUAGGGCGGGACACGUGGUAUCCUGUCUGAAUAUGGGGGGACCAUCCUCCAAGGCUAAAUACUCCUGACUGACCGAUAGUGAACCAGUACCGUGAGGGAAAGGCGAAAAGAACCCCGGCGAGGGGAGUGAAAAAGAACCUGAAACCGUGUACGUACAAGCAGUGGGAGCACGCUUAGGCGUGUGACUGCGUACCUUUUGUAUAAUGGGUCAGCGACUUAUAUUCUGUAGCAAGGUUAACCGAAUAGGGGAGCCGAAGGGAAACCGAGUCUUAACUGGGCGUUAAGUUGCAGGGUAUAGACCCGAAACCCGGUGAUCUAGCCAUGGGCAGGUUGAAGGUUGGGUAACACUAACUGGAGGACCGAACCGACUAAUGUUGAAAAAUUAGCGGAUGACUUGUGGCUGGGGGUGAAAGGCCAAUCAAACCGGGAGAUAGCUGGUUCUCCCCGAAAGCUAUUUAGGUAGCGCCUCGUGAAUUCAUCUCCGGGGGUAGAGCACUGUUUCGGCAAGGGGGUCAUCCCGACUUACCAACCCGAUGCAAACUGCGAAUACCGGAGAAUGUUAUCACGGGAGACACACGGCGGGUGCUAACGUCCGUCGUGAAGAGGGAAACAACCCAGACCGCCAGCUAAGGUCCCAAAGUCAUGGUUAAGUGGGAAACGAUGUGGGAAGGCCCAGACAGCCAGGAUGUUGGCUUAGAAGCAGCCAUCAUUUAAAGAAAGCGUAAUAGCUCACUGGUCGAGUCGGCCUGCGCGGAAGAUGUAACGGGGCUAAACCAUGCACCGAAGCUGCGGCAGCGACGCUUAUGCGUUGUUGGGUAGGGGAGCGUUCUGUAAGCCUGUGAAGGUGUGCUGUGAGGCAUGCUGGAGGUAUCAGAAGUGCGAAUGCUGACAUAAGUAACGAUAAAGCGGGUGAAAAGCCCGCUCGCCGGAAGACCAAGGGUUCCUGUCCAACGUUAAUCGGGGCAGGGUGAGUCGACCCCUAAGGCGAGGCCGAAAGGCGUAGUCGAUGGGAAACAGGUUAAUAUUCCUGUACUUGGUGUUACUGCGAAGGG